rnacentral:lncRNA from 1 species
GUAUCGUGUGUCUGAUGCUGCUGAGCGUGGCGCGAGCAUUCUUGUUGAUGGUGGUCCGCACAUAGGAGGUGGCAGGCUUCCGCUGGCUGGAUCUCCGCUUCAUGACCACCACACCUCUGCUGUCGGCUGCAGGCUCCACGCCCACAGUCUUGCGGUGAAUCAGCCCUUUUUAGCGAAGGAGUUGCGGGCCUUCAAGUUAUUGGGCUCUGUGCUGUCUGUCUACUUCUUCCUCUUGAUCAGGAAACUGGAGCAGUUCCUCACGACCAUCCAUUGCAGAUGCGCAGACAUGGCGGCGGCUUCUCUCGCAGCGGCCUCAGGGGCAAUUUAAAAGGACCCAGGACAAAUGGAAUCUUUGCCUUCCUAAGCCCUACAGGCACCUAUUUUAAAUUCAAGCAAACAUCAACAUCAAGGGAGCCAAGCACUACACAAACUGUAUAUUUGGAAAGAAAAUGGUGUAUUUAUUGCUUAUGCCCUUAAAGGAAAAAUGGGACAAACCAUUUGAAAUCAGAAGGUACUAAAAAUUACGAGAUAUGCAGUCCCCACACUGUGUUCCCUGCAAUUUGGCCACAGGAAUUCUCUGAGUGGCCUUUGCUUAGCUCCAUCUCUGGGUAGGAUGGGCCUUUGGCCAUCCAUGUUACACUUUGAUCCUGACUCAGCUCUUAUCUUUUCUAUACAUUUAAGUCCCUUCAGAGGUUCAAGUCUACUCUAGGUUAAUACCUCAGGCCUUUCAGGCACAUAAGUAAUAUUUUUAAAAAAAGCAUCCUCAUAUACAGAAAAUUUCCCCCAAAUUUAUCCUUCUUUGUAACAUAUCUAUGAUCUCACAUUUAAAUGUUAUCACACUUACAGCAAAGGCAAUGCUAAGAGGAAAGUUCGUAGCCUUAAAUGUCUUCAUCAAAAAGUCUGAAAGAGCACAAACAGGCAAUCUAAGGUCAUGGCUCAAGGAACUAGAGAAACAAACAAACCAAACCCAAACCCAGCAGAAGAAAGGGAAUAACCAAGAUCAGAGCAGAACUAAAUGAAAUUGAAACAAACAAACAAACAAAAAACAAAGACAAAUGAAACAAAAAACUUGUUCUUUGAAAAAUAUAAAUAAAAUUGAUAGACCAUUAGCAAGAUUAACCAAGGAAAGAAGAGAGAAGAUCUAAAUAAGCUCAGUUAGAAAUGAAAUGAGAGAUAUUACAACUGAUACCACAGAAAUACAGAUCAUUCAAGGCUACUAUGAACACUUUUUCACAUAUAAACUAGAAAACCUAGAGGAGAUGGAUAAAUUCCUGGAAAGAUACAACCCUCUUAGCUUAAAUCAGAAAGAAUUAGAAGCCCUGAACAGACCAAUAACAAGCAGAGAGAUUGAAGUAGUAAUAAAAAUAUUACCAACAACAACAACAAAAAGUCCUGGACCAGAUGGAUUCACAGCUGAAUUCUACCAGACAUUCAAAGAAUUGGUACCAAUUCUAUUGACACUAUUCCACAAGAUAGAGAAAGAGGGAAUCCUCCCUAAAUAAUUUUAUGAAGCCAGUACCACCCUAAUACACAAACCAGGGAAGGACAUAACAAAAAAAGAAAACUACAGACUAAUGUCUCUGAUGAACAUAGAUGCAAAAAUCCUCAACAAAAUACUAGUUAACUGAAUCCAACAGCAUAUCAAAAAGGUAAUCUACCAUGAUCAAGUGGGUUUCAUAUCAUGAAUGCAGGGAUGAUUUAACAUGCACAAGUCAAUAAAUGUGAUACACCACAUAAACAGAAUUAGAAAAAAAAUCACAUGGUCAUCUCAAUAGAGGCAGAAAAAGCAUUUGACAAAGUCCAGCAUCACUUUAUGAUUAAAACCUUCAGCAAAAUCAGCAUACAAAGGACAUACCUCAAUGUAAUAAAAGCCAUCUAUGACAAACCCCCACAGCCAACAUAACACUGAAUGGAGAAAAGUUGAAAGCAUUCCCUGUGAAAACUGGAACGAGACAAGGAUGCUCACUCUCACCACUUCUAUUCAAUAUAGUACUGAAAUUCCUAGCCAGAGCAAUCAGACAAGAGAAAGAAAUGGCAUCAAAUCAGUAAAGAGAAAGUCAAAUUGUCACUGUUUGCAGAUGAUCUCAUUGUAUACCUAGAAAACCCUAAAGACUCCUCCAGAAAGCUCCUGGAAUUGAUAAAUGAAUUCAGCAAAGUUUCAGGAUAUAAAAUUAAUGUACACAAAUCACUAGCUCUGCUGCACACCAACAGCAACCAAGCUGAGAAUGAAAUCAAGAACUCAAUCCCUUUAUGAUAGCUGCAAAAAAAUAAAAUAAAAUACUUAGGAAUAUACUUAACCAAGGAGGUGAAAGACCUGUACGAGGAAAACUACAAAACACUGCUGAAAGAAAUCAUAGAUGACACAAAUGGAAACACAUCCAUGCUCAUGGAUGGAUAGAAUCAAUAUUGUGAAAAUGACCAUACUGCCAAAAGCAAUCUACAGAUUCAAUGCAAUUCCCAUCAAAAUACCACCAUCAUUCUUCACCAAAAAAAAAAAAAAAAAAAAAAAAAAAAAAAAUCUUAAAAUUCAUAUGGAACCUAAAAAGAGCCUGCAUAGCUAAAGCAAGACUAAGCAAAAAGGGCUGGGUGCGGUGGCUCACGCCUGUAAUCCCAUCACUUUGGGAGGCUGAGGUGGGCAGAUCACCUAAGGUCAGGAGUUUGAAACCAGCCUGGCCAACAUGAUGAGCCCCUGUGUCUACUGAAAAUACAAAAAUUAGCCAGGCAUGGUGGCAGGUGCUUGUAAUCCCAGCUACUAGAGAGGCUGAGGCAGGAGAAUCACUUGAACCCCAGGAGGCUUUGGUUUCAAUGAGCCGAAAUCACACCAUUGCACUCUAGCCUGGGCGACAAGAGCAAAACUCUGUCUCAAAAUACACACAAACACACACACACACACAAACAAACAAAAAACAACAACAACAACAACAAAAACUAAGCAAAAAGAACAAAUCUGGAGGCAUCACAUUACCUGACUUCAAACUAUACUAUAAGGCUCUAGUUACCAAAACAGUGCGGUACUGGUAUAAAAAUAGCCACAUAGCCCAACGGAACAGAAGAGAGAACACACAAAUAAACCCAAAUACUUAGAGCCAAAUGAUCUUCAACAGAGCAAACAAAAACAUAAAGUGGGGGAAGGGACACUCUAUUCAACAAGUGGUGCUGAGAUAAUUGGCUAGCCACAUGUAGGAGAAUGAAACUGGAUCCUCAUUUCUCACCUUAUAUAAAAAUCAACUCAAGAUGGAUCAAGGACUCAAAUCUAAGACCUGAAACCAAAAAUUCUAGAAGAUAACAUCAGAAAAACCCUUCUAGACAUUGGCUUAGGCAAAGAUAUCGUGACCAGGAACCCAAAAGCAAAUGCAACAAAAGCAAAGAUAAAUAGGUGUGACUUAAUUAAACUAAAGAGCGUUUUGCAUGGCAAAAGGAACAUUCAGCAGAGUAAACAGACAACCCAUAAAGUGGGAGAAGAUCUUCACAAUCUAUACAUCUGACAAAGGACUAAUAUCCAGAAUCUACAAGGAACUCAAACAAAUAGCAAGAAAAAAACAGUCUUAUCAAAAAGUGGGCUAAGGACAUGAAUAGACAGUUCUCAAAAGAAGAUAUACAAAUGGCCAACAAACACAUGAAAAAAUGCUCAGCAUCACUAAUGAUCAGGGAAAUGGAAAUCAAAACCACAAUGCAAUACCACCUUACUCCUGCAAGAAUGGGAAUAAUAAAAAAAUAAUAGAUGUUGGCGUGGAUACAGUGAAAGGGGAAUACUUGUACACUGCUGGUGGGAACGUAAACUAGUACAACCACUAUGGAAAACAGUGUGGAGAUUCCUUAAAGAACUAAAAGUAUAACUACCAUUUGACCCAGCAAUCCCACUACUGGGUAUCUACCCAGAAAAAAAGAGGUCAUUAUAAGAAAAAGAUACUUUCACAUGCAUGUUUAUAGCAGCACAACUUGCAGUUGUGAAAACGUGGAACCAACCCAAAUGCCCAUCAAUCAACAAGUGGAUACAGAAACU